rnacentral:rRNA from 1 species
ACGAAGGUCCCAAGCGUUGUUCGGAAUCACUGGGCGUAAAGCGUGUGUAGGCGGCAGAGUAAGUCAGAUGUGAAAUCCCGGGGCUCAACCUCGGAACUGCAUCCGAUACUGCUUUGCUAGAGUAGCGGAGGGGCAUAUGGAAUUCACGGUGUAGCAGUGAAAUGCGUAGAUAUCGUGAGGAACACUAGUGGCGAAGGCGAUAUGCUGGACGCUUACUGACGCUCAAACACGAAGGCUAGGGUAGCGAAAGGGAUUAGAUACCCCUGUAGUCCUAGCAGUAAACGGUGCACGUUUGGUGUGGGGAGAUUCGACCCUCUCCGUGCCGAAGCUAACGCGUUAAACGUGCCGCCUGGGGAGUACGGCCGCAAGGCUA